rnacentral:rRNA from 1 species
AGUGAACGCUGGCGGUAGGCCUAACACAUGCAAGUCGAACGGCAGCACAGUAAGGGCUUGCUCUUACGGGUGGCGAGUGGCGGACGGGUGAGGAAUACAUCGGGAUCUACUUUUUCGUGGGGGAUAACGUAGGGAAACUUACGCUAAUACCGCAUACGACCUACGGGUGAAAGCAGGGGAUCUUCGGACCUUGCGCGAUUGAAUGAGCCGAUGUCGGAUUAGCUAGUUGGCGGGGUAAAGGCCCACCAAGGCGACGAUCCGUAGCUGGUCUGGGAGGAUGAUCAGCCACACUGGAACUGAGACACGGUCCAGACUCCUACGGGAGGCAGCAGUGGGGAAUAUUGGACAAUGGGCGCAAGCCUGAUCCAGCCAUACCGCGUGGGUGAAGAAGGCCUUCGGGUUGUAAAGCCCUUUUGUUGGGAAAGAAAAGCAGCAGGUUAAUACCCCGCUGUUCUGACGGUACCCAAAGAAUAAGCACCGGCUAACUUCGUG